rnacentral:rRNA from 1 species
AGCGAACGCUGGCGGCAGGCCUAAUACAUGCAAGUCGAGCGAAGCCUUCGGGCUUAGCGGCGGACGGGUGAGUAACGCGUGGGAACGUGCCCUUUGGUACGGAAUAGCCCCGGGAAACUGGGAGUAAUUCCGUAUGUGGUCGAGAGACGAAAGAUUUAUCGCCAAAGGAUCGGCCCGCGUUGGAUUAGGUAGUUGGUGGGGUAACGGCCUACCAAGCCGACGAUCCAUAGCUGGUUUGAGAGGAUGAUUAGCCACACUGGGACUGAGACACGGCCCAGACUACUACGGGAGGCAGCAGUAGGGAAUCUUAGACAAUGGGGGAAACCCUGAUCUAGCCAUGCCGCGUGAUCGAUGAAGGCCUUAGGGUUGUAAAGAUCUUUCAGUGGGGAAGAUAAUGACUGUACCCACAGAAGAAGCCCCGGCUAACUCCGUGCCAGCCGCCGCGGUAACAC